rnacentral:rRNA from 1 species
CCUACGGGAGGCAGCAGUGGGGGAUAUUGCACAAUGGGGGGAACCCUGAUGCAGCGACGCCGCGUGGGUGAAGAAGCGCCUCGGCGCGUAAAGCCCUGUUAGCAGGGAAGAAAAUGACGGUACCUGAAGAAGAAGCCCCGGCUAACUACGUGCCAGCAGCCGCGGUAAUACGUAGGGGGCCAGCGUUAUCCGGAUUUACUGGGUGUAAAGGGGGCGCAGACGGCGGUGCAAGCCAGGAGUGAAAGCCCGGGGCCCAACCCCGGGACUGCCCUUGGAACUGCGUAGCUGGAGUGCAGGAGGGGCAGGCGGAAUUCCUGGUGUAGCGGUGAAAUGCGUAGAUAUCAGGAAGAACACCGGUGGCGAAGGCGGCCUGCUGGACUGCAACUGACGUUGAGGCCCGAAAGCGUGGGGAGCGAACAGGAUUGGAUACCCCUGUAGUC